rnacentral:rRNA from 1 species
GCAUAUCAAUAAGCGGAGGAAAAGAAACCAACAGGGAUUGCUCUAGUAACGGCGAGUGAAGCAGCAAUAGCUCAAAUUUGAAAUCUGGCGUCUUCGACGUCCGAGUUGUAAUUUGUAGAGGAUGCUUCUGAGUAACCACCGACCUAAGUUCCUUGGAACAGGACGUCAUAGAGGGUGAGAAUCCCGUAUGCGGUCGGAAAGGUGCUCUAUACGUAGCUCCUUCGACGAGUCGAGUUGUUUGGGAAUGCAGCUCUAAAUGGGAGGUAAAUUUCUUCUAAAGCUAAAUAUUGGCCAGAGACCGAUAGCGCACAAGUAGAGUGAUCGAAAGAUGAAAAGCACUUUGGAAAGAGAGUUAAAAAGCACGUGAAAUUGUUAAAAGGGAAGGGAUUGCAACCAGACUUGCUCGCGGUGUUCCGCCGGUCUUCUGACCGGUCUACUCGCCGCGUUGCAGGCCAGCAUCGUCUGGUGCCGCUGGAUAAGACUUGAGGAAUGUAGCUCCCUCGGGAGUGUUAUAGCCUCUUGUGAUGCAGCGAGCGCCGGGCGAGGUCCGCGCUUCGGCUAGGAUGCUGUCGAAAUAACACAGGAU